rnacentral:rRNA from 1 species
GAUCCUGGCUCAGGAUGAACGCUGGCGGCGUGCUUAACACAUGCAAGUCGAGCGAAGCACUUUACUUGGAUUUCUUCGGAAUGACGAGUAUUGUGACUGAGCGGCGGACGGGUGAGUAACGCGUGGGUAACCUGCCUCAUACAGGGGGAUAACAGUUAGAAAUGACUGCUAAUACCGCAUAAGACCACAGCACCGCAUGGUGCAGAGGUAAAAACUCCGGUGGUAUGAGAUGGACCCCG